CACGUAGGGCGCAAGCGUUGUCCGGAAUUAUUGGGCGUAAAGAGCUCGUAGGUGGUUUGCUGCGUCCGCUGUGAAAACCCAAGGCUUAACCUUGGGCUUGCAGUGGAUACGGGCAGACUAGAGGUAGGUAGGGGAGAAUGGAAUUCCCGGUGUAGCGGUGAAAUGCGCAGAUAUCGGGAGGAACACCGGUGGCGAAGGCGGUUCUCUGGGCCUUACCUGACACUGAGGAGCGAAAAGCGUGGGGAGCGAACAGG
rnacentral:rRNA from 1 species